UUUUCUUAACUUAUUCAGUAUUUUCUAUACUUAACACCACCUUCUUGUUAAUUUGUAUAAUAUAAAACACAGGUACUGUACUAUAUGUUCACCUUAUUAUACAGCUUGUUAACUUGUAUCAGUAAGACAUAGCAACUGAAUGUACCUUAUUCACUUGUGUUAGUUAUUUAUUGUACCUUGUUUAUUUGCAUUAGGACUGACUAUACCUUGUCAACUUUUAUUAGUCAGAUACAGACUGGUUGUAUCUUUUUUUUAAUUUUGUAUUGCAGCGCUUGCUAUUCUAGCCUUUGACUGUUAACUUUUAUUAUUUGUAAACAGACUGGUUAUAUCUUCUUUUUAGUUUUAUAUUGUAGUGCUUGUUAUUGCAGCCUUCCACCGUCAUGACAAACCUGAGCAGGGGUAAUGUCCAGACCACCACUCCAUCCAUAUAUCCAACUCUAACAAUCCACCAGAUGGCGGCACAAGGGGAGGUAGUCAUACUGCAACAAGAAUUACAUGAUGGAAUUGACAUCAACAGUGUUGACGAAAAUGUCUCACGGCUCUGCACUGGGCCUG